AUUGAACGCUGGCGGCGUGCUUAACACAUGCAAGUCGAACGAAGUGGCGACCGGGUGAGUAAUACGUGAGUAACCUGCCCCCUUUCUUGGGAUAACGGUCGGAAACGGCUGCUAAUACUGGAUAGUGGGGGAUGGGCUUGCGGCCUAUCAGCUUGUUGGUGGGGUGAUGGCGUACCAAGGCUUUGGCGGGUAACCGGCCUGAGCGGGUGACCGGUGACAUUGAGAAGGAGAUACGGCCCAGAGUCCGACGGGAGGGAGCAGUGGGGAAAAUUGAACAAUGGGCGAAAGCCUGAUGCAGCGACGCCGAGUGAGGGAUGAAGGCCUUCGAGUUGUGAACCUUUUUCGCUCAUGGUCGGGUAGUGGGUAAAGAAGCGCCGGCUAACUACGUGCCAGCAGCCGCGGUAAUAC
rnacentral:rRNA from 1 species